GGGAAGUGCAUGCAGCUCGUGCUCUGCUGACCUGUGUCUCGGUGACCCAAGGUUUCCAGCUUGCACAAGAAAUGCCUGGGGCUUGAUUGCAAAAGGCAUUUCAUUUCUAACAGGCAGGUGAAUUUGGUGUUUAACCUCCAGUGAGAUCUAACUAGCCAGCCUAAAUACUUUUACAUCCCUCGCUUGGUGCCUAUCUAUAUCUUUAGGUAGAGAGAUACGGGGGGAAAUGUGGCUUUUAAUAGCUUGUGAGUCAGAGUGAGGCAUGUCUGCACUGAGGGCGAGCAGCUGAACUGUUGCAGGGUGUGGACAGACCCAGGGACUGCUGAAGGCUCCCACGCCAUGAACCAUCCAGCCAGGACCUGGCAGGGCUCAGCCUGGGCUAAUCUGCUCUCCAGCUGGUUUUUGAGUCAUGAGCUGGUUGCAAUUAUUUUGCCUCUGUAAUUCCAUCUUCCUUGCGCUCUUCCUGGCUUCAGAGCCACUGGAGGAUGGUCACCUGUGUGGAGCUGUGCAUGAAAAUCGGAUCCCAGCUGCAGGCAAGGGAACACUGGAAGAAGACUGCAAGGAGUAGUCGUAUCACAGCUGCAGUUGUGGUUAUUAUUCAUCAUCUUGCUACAUACAGCACUCAGCUUGUGCUGAGCAGGGAGAGCUGUGAUCCCCGUUAUUAUCAAUACCCAGUGCUGUACCAGUGCCUCAGCAAAGGUGGGGAUCUGGAACCAGCAGGGCACCAACCAAGGAACAGAAACAACUGUGUUUUUAGGAUUCUGAUUAAUUUUUCAAGUGAUUGCAGCCUGGUCCUGACACUUCUUUGCAACUGCCUCCGGAGCCAGUCCCGCUUUGUACUGCUGUGCGUCCUUAGAAAAUAGGCUGCCAGGUGCUGAACACCCACAGUUUGGAGUGAUCACUCAUGGUAGAUGCAUCCUCACAUACCCUGCUCAGUAUCAGUCGUGACGCGGGGCAGACCCUGCUGCAGAUGCAUUCAUCCCCACUGUGCAUCCCAUACCUGCUGCAGCCCCGUGAGCCUGGGAGGUCUGAGGGCACCGUGCCAGCAUCACAGCACUGGGAGGGAAAUCCGUGCAGCCUGUGCCUGCGUGUUUGCAAACGGCCAUCGCAGUGCCGUGCAUAACACUUAAGCUGAAUGAGAGACUAAAUAAAGAUUAAAUGGAGACGGAUGCCUCUAUUUGCAUUAGGAGAGGUUUUGAAUCUCUUCUCGUUUGCUUUCCCGGAGCAGUUUGCAGACCGGCUGUACAGGUCCCUUUUUGUAGAGAGAAGCCACACUGCAUCCUCUGCAGAUACAGCCUCAUCCAUAGCAGCAAGCACGGCGUGCAUUAUGGAUCGCACGUACUGCCAGCACUUGGAGAAAGGGCCACGCUCUAACAGCUCUCCAGGGG
ensembl:lncRNA